GACGAACGCUGGCGGCGUGCCUAAUACAUGCAAGUCGAACGAAGCUGUUUUAACUGGUGCUUGCACCGACUUAAACAACUGAGUGGCGAACGGGUGAGUAACACGUGGGUAACCUGCCCCAAAGCGGGGGAUAACAUUUGGAAACAGAUGCUAAUACCGCAUAACCACAGAAACCACAUGGUUUCUGUGUCAAAGAUGGUUUCGGCUAUCACUUUGGGAUGGACCCGCGGCGUAUUAGCUAGUUGGUAAGGUAAUGGCUUACUAAGGCAAUGAGACGUAGCCGAACUGAGAGGUUGAGCGGCCACAUUGGGACUGAGACACGGCCCAAACUCCUACGGGAGGCAGCAGUAGGGAAUCGUCCACAAUGGACGAAAGUCUGAUGGAGCAACGCCGCGUGAGUGAAGAAGGUUUUCGGAUCGUAAAACUCUGUUGUCAGAGAAGAACGUGUGCGAGAGUAACUGCUCGUGCAGUGACGGUAUCUGGCCAGAAAGCCACGGCUAACUACGUGCCAGCCGCCGCCGUAA
rnacentral:rRNA from 1 species